rnacentral:rRNA from 1 species
GUAGGCGGUUUUUUAAGUCUGAUGUGAAAGCCCACGGCUCAACCGUGGAGGGUCAUUGGAAACUGGAAAACUUGAGUGCAGAAGAGGAAAGUGGAAUUCCAUGUGUAGCGGUGAAAUGCGCAGAGAUAUGGAGGAACACCAGUGGCGAAGGCGACUUUCUGGUCUGUAACUGACGCUGAUGUGCGAAAGCGUGGGGAUCAAACAGGAUUAGAUACCCCAGUAGUCCCA